CUAAAAUCAAAGCUUUUCUUAUAUUUGUUAUGGGUUAUUCUCCAAAUUCAGUAUUUAUACAACUCUGAUCAAUGGGCUGGCGAAUUGGGUAAUGCAUACAUGGUGCUUGAUAAAAUGUCAAAUAAUGGGAUACUGCCUGAUUUUCACACUUACAGUAUAUUACAAAAACAUUAUGUGUUGCCUUUACCUAUGGUUUUGGUUUCUUUAUUUGUUGUCUUUUAUAUGUGUUGCGUCAUCUCGUUCCUUUUAGUUGUUUUUCUAGGAUUAGUUUUAAGUUAACUACGGGGAUAGGGCUAUCAGGUGUUAUGGAGACCUAUGCAUCGGCCACAAAGAAAGAAGAAAAGGAAGACAGGUCUGUUGUGCAUAUUUAAGCUCUUGCAGGAGCUCAUUGCAUGAAUACUUCCCAUACGGAUUCUGAUGGCGGGCUUCAGGGGUAUUCAGAUUCUCGCAGCGAACAACAUUUAGAUUCCAACAGCGAACAAUCAGGCUUGUUAUUUAAGUGUUUUUUCGCAGUAUAAGUGAUUGAUUUGACCGAAAAAAAUUGACAAUUUUAAGCCCCUCAAGGUUGUACUGUGCCAAACACUUGUUCGUUUUUCUUUCUUUUUGGUUUUGUUCGAUCUCAAGUUUCAGGUGACACUUACAACCACUUAUUAAACCUGAGCUCUUUUUGCAAACUUAUCAGCUGCAAAAUGUCUCUCCCCUGUAGCUGUGUCUAAACUGUACCCCAAUAGCACGCCUGCAUCUAUUCCAUCUGGUCUAGGAUAUCCAAUGAAUCAGUUUGCACUACUGCCUUUGAAGGCCUGUAUGAUCAGUAGAAAAUAGAUUGCACUACUGCCUUCUGCCAAUGUUUCUGAACUACCCAUUCUAAAGCCCUAAUAACAGCCAGCAACUCAACUAUGAAAUUAGCAACUAUACCAAUCCCUCCACAUUCAGCGUAAACAGAACCACUAGUGUUGUUUUGUUGAGAAUCAGAUUACAACCCCUUUUAAAGCUUGGUUCACAUAGUAGUAAAUCGAUUUGAAUGCAGGGCUUUUAUGAAGACAUUAAACUGAUGCUAAUGUCAUGUAUAUGCAAAGUUCUUCUUCAAAGCAUGUUCUUACGCGUAGAAUUCAUCAUAUUGGCUGUCUAAAACAAAAAUUCAGGAACGAAAUAGAAAAUGCAAUUUUUUUUACCAGAACUUCGCUUAAUUAGGGGCUGUGAGUUAUAAUUUGGGGCAAUGAGAAUUCUACUCACCCUGAUUUUAACUGGUACUGGAGGAAAUCGUAAAAUUACGCACUUGCUUAGUUGUUCAUUUGACGGCUUUUUCAGGAUCAUGUAGUCAGAUCCCUAUCCAUCAACUUGUUUUGUUUUCUAAGUGUACCCUUGUUCUGACAGAUAAGUUGGUUCUUAUGAAAUGUGUGACAAUUUUUUCCUUAUUGGCUUAGACUGGUGGUGGCUUAAGGGAUCCCUUGGAAGAUGAAACUAAAUCUUCUCCUAGAAAGCUUCCUAAAGGGACACACCGGUCAAGUCUUGUCACUCCGGAAGAAAUUGCUCUUAUCAUGCACCGAUCGUCCAUAUCUGUCCAAGAGGUUGCAGGAAUGGUGUUAAACCCAGUUACUGGAAAAUGGGUACUAUCAGACGAUAUAAGUAUAUAUUUCAUUGCCUAUGGUACAAAGAAUAAUCUAUGAAAGGUAGCAUCCAGAGUUAUGCUUUUAUCGUUGUACCUCUACCUUACUAUGGCACUAACUCAACUUCAGUAAUCCUUACCUUCUCAAUUAGCAGUUGUUUUUGGCAUCUUCCGAUUUCUAUCUUGACGAAGAAGGCUAUCAUUUUUGCAACUUCAUACUACAUAUGGUUAUUAAUCUACAUUAGAGUG